rnacentral:rRNA from 1 species
UACAGAGGUCCCAAGCGUUGUUCGGAUUCAUUGGGCGUAAAGGGUGUGUAGGUGGCGCCGUAAGUCGGGUGUGAAAUUUCGGAGCUUAACUCCGAAACUGCAUUCGAUACUGCGGUGCUUGAGGACUGGAGAGGAGACUGGAAUUCAUGGUGUAGCAGUGAAAUGCGUAGAGAUCAUGAGGAAGACCAGUGGCGAAGGCGGGUCUCUGGACAGUUCCUGACACUGAGACACGAAGGCCAGGGG